GGGUUGUGAGGUUAAGCGACUAAGCGUACACGGUGGAUGCCCUGGCAGUCAGAGGCGAUGAAGGACGUGCUAAUCUGCGAUAAGCGUCGGUAAGGUGAUAUGAACCGUUAUAACCGGCGAUUUCCGAAUGGGGAAACCCAGUGUGAUUCGUCACACUAUCAUUAACUGAAUCCAUAGGUUAAUGAGGCGAACCGGGGGAACUGAAACAUCUAAGUACCCCGAGGAAAAGAAAUCAACCGAGAUUCCCCCAGUAGCGGCGAGCGAACGGGGAGCAGCCCAGAGCCUGAAUCAGUGUGUGUGUUAGUGGAAGCGUCUGGAAAGGCGCGCGAUACAGGGUGACAGCCCCGUACACAAAAAUGCACAUGCUGUGAGCUCGAUGAGUAGGGCGGGACACGUGGUAUCCUGUCUGAAUAUGGGGGGACCAUCCUCCAAGGCUAAAUACUCCUGACUGACCGAUAGUGAACCAGUACCGUGAGGGAAAGGCGAAAAGAACCCCGGCGAGGGGAGUGAAAAAGAACCUGAAACCGUGUACGUACAAGCAGUGGGAGCCUCUUUAUGGGGUGACUGCGUACCUUUUGUAUAAUGGGUCAGCGACUUAUAUUCUGUAGCAAGGUUAACCGAAUAGGGGAGCCGAAGGGAAACCGAGUCUUAACUGGGCGUUAAGUUGCAGGGUAUAGACCCGAAACCCGGUGAUCUAGCCAUGGGCAGGUUGAAGGUUGGGUAACACUAACUGGAGGACCGAACCGACUAAUGUUGAAAAAUUAGCGGAUGACUUGUGGCUGGGGGUGAAAGGCCAAUCAAACCGGGAGAUAGCUGGUUCUCCCCGAAAGCUAUUUAGGUAGCGCCUCGUGAAUUCAUCUCCGGGGGUAGAGCACUGUUUCGGCAAGGGGGUCAUCCCGACUUACCAACCCGAUGCAAACUGCGAAUACCGGAGAAUGUUAUCACGGGAGACACACGGCGGGUGCUAACGUCCGUCGUGAAGAGGGAAACAACCCAGACCGCCAGCUAAGGUCCCAAAGUCAUGGUUAAGUGGGAAACGAUGUGGGAAGGCCCAGACAGCCAGGAUGUUGGCUUAGAAGCAGCCAUCAUUUAAAGAAAGCGUAAUAGCUCACUGGUCGAGUCGGCCUGCGCGGAAGAUGUAACGGGGCUAAACCAUGCACCGAAGCUGCGGCAGCGACACUAUGUGUUGUUGGGUAGGGGAGCGUUCUGUAAGCCUGUGAAGGUGUCCUGUGAGGUAUGCUGGAGGUAUCAGAAGUGCGAAUGCUGACAUAAGUAACGAUAAAGCGGGUGAAAAGCCCGCUCGCCGGAAGACCAAGGGUUCCUGUCCAACGUUAAUCGGGGCAGGGUGAGUCGACCCCUAAGGCGAGGCCGAAAGGCGUAGUCGAUGGGAAACAGGUUAAUAUUCCUGUACUUGGUGUUACUGCGAAGGGGGGACGGAGAAGGCUAUGUUGGCCGGGCGACGGUUGUCCCGGUUUAAGCGUGUAGGCUGGUUUUCCAGGCAAAUCCGGAAAAUCAAGGCUGAGGCGUGAUGACGAGGCACUACGGUGCUGAAGCAACAAAUGCCCUGCUUCCAGGAAAAGCCUCUAAGCAUCAGGUAACAUCAAAUCGUACCCCAAACCGACACAGGUGGUCAGGUAGAGAAUACCAAGGCGCUUGAGAGAACUCGGGUGAAGGAACUAGGCAAAAUGGUGCCGUAACUUCGGGAGAAGGCACGCUGAUACGUAGGUGAAGUCCCUCGCGGAUGGAGCUGAAAUCAGUCGAAGAUACCAGCUGGCUGCAACUGUUUAUUAAAAACACAGCACUGUGCAAACACGAAAGUGGACGUAUACGGUGUGACGCCUGCCCGGUGCCGGAAGGUUAAUUGAUGGGGUCAGCGCAAGCGAAGCUCUUGAUCGAAGCCCCGGUAAACGGCGGCCGUAACUAUAACGGUCCUAAGGUAGCGAAAUUCCUUGUCGGGUAAGUUCCGACCUGCACGAAUGGCGUAAUGAUGGCCAGGCUGUCUCCACCCGAGACUCAGUGAAAUUGAACUCGCUGUGAAGAUGCAGUGUACCCGCGGCAAGACGGAAAGACCCCGUGAACCUUUACUAUAGCUUGACACUGAACAUUGAGCCUUGAUGUGUAGGAUAGGUGGGAGGCUUUGAAGUGUGGACGCCAGUCUGCAUGGAGCCGACCUUGAAAUACCACCCUUUAAUGUUUGAUGUUCUAACGUGGACCCGUAAUCCGGGUUGCGGACAGUGUCUGGUGGGUAGUUUGACUGGGGCGGUCUCCUCCUAAAGAGUAACGGAGGAGCACGAAGGUUGGCUAAUCCUGGUCGGACAUCAGGAGGUUAGUGCAAUGGCAUAAGCCAGCUUGACUGCGAGCGUGACGGCGCGAGCAGGUGCGAAAGCAGGUCAUAGUGAUCCGGUGGUUCUGAAUGGAAGGGCCAUCGCUCAACGGAUAAAAGGUACUCCGGGGAUAACAGGCUGAUACCGCCCAAGAGUUCAUAUCGACGGCGGUGUUUGGCACCUCGAUGUCGGCUCAUCACAUCCUGGGGCUGAAGUAGGUCCCAAGGGUAUGGCUGUUCGCCAUUUAAAGUGGUACGCGAGCUGGGUUUAGAACGUCGUGAGACAGUUCGGUCCCUAUCUGCCGUGGGCGCUGGAGAACUGAGGGGGGCUGCUCCUAGUACGAGAGGACCGGAGUGGACGCAUCACUGGUGUUCGGGUUGUCAUGCCAAUGGCACUGCCCGGUAGCUAAAUGCGGAAGAGAUAAGUGCUGAAAGCAUCUAAGCACGAAACUUGCCCCGAGAUGAGUUCUCCCUGAGACUUUAAGUCUCCUGAAGGAACGUUGAAGACGACGACGUUGAUAGGCCGGGUGUGUAAGCGCAGCGAUGCGUUGAGCUAACCGGUACUAAUGAACCGUGAGGCUUAACCUUACAACGCCGAAG
rnacentral:rRNA from 1 species